rnacentral:rRNA from 1 species
UACGAACCGUCCAAAACGUUACUCGGAAUCACUGGGCUUAAAGGGUGCGUAGGCCGCGCGGAGGGUGGGAUGUGAAAUCCCCCGGCUCAACCGGGGAAUAGCGUCCCAAACCGCCGUGCUCGAGGGAGACAGAGGUGAGCGGAACUGAUGGUGGAGCGGUGAAAUGCGUUGAUAUCAUCAGGAACACCAGUGGCGAAAGCGGCUUCCUGGCCCAGCACCGACGUCAGGC